rfam:Magnaporthe oryzae 70-15 chromosome 2, whole genome shotgun sequence.
AGGGUCGUGGCGCAAAGGUAGCGCGUCCGCCUCCUACUUCCUGAUCAAUUCGAGCAGCAAAGAAUGGCAGCGGAAGGCUGCAGGUUCGAGUCCUGCCGUCCUUG